rnacentral:rRNA from 1 species
GAUGAACGCUGGCGGCGUGCCUAAUACAUGCAAGUCGAGCGAACAGACGAGGAGCUUGCUCCUCUGACGUUAGCGGCGGACGGGUGAGUAACACGUGGAUAACCUACCUAUAAGACUGGGAUAACUUCGGGAAACCGGAGCUAAUACCGGAUAAUAUAUUGAACCGCAUGGUUCAAUAGUGAAAGACGGUUUUGCUGUCACUUAUAGAUGGAUCCGCGCCGCAUUAGCUAGUUGGUAAGGUAACGGCUUACCAAGGCAACGAUGCGUAGCCGACCUGAGAGGGUGAUCGGCCACACGGGAACUGAGAAACGGUCCAGACUCCUACGGGAGGCAGCAGUAGGGAAUCUUCCGCAAUGGGCGAGAGCCUGACGGAGCAACGCCGCGUGAGUGAUGAAGGUCUUCGGAUCGUAAAACUCUGUUAUUAGGGGAGAACAAAUGUGUAAGUAACUAUGCACGUAUUGACGGUACCUAAUCAGAAAGCCACGGCUAACUACGUG